rnacentral:rRNA from 1 species
CCUACGGGUUGCACCAGUGGGGAAUAUUGGACAAUGGGCGAAAGCCUGAUCCGGCAAUGCCGCGUGUGUGAAGAAGGUCUUCGGAUUGUAAAGCUCCUUCGACGGGGACGAUGAUGACGGUACCCGUAGAAGAAGCCCCGGCUAACUUCGUGCCAGCAGCCGCGGUAAUACGAAGGGGCUAGCGUUGCUCGGAAUGACUGAGCGUAAAGGGCGCGUAGGCGGUUUAUGCAGUCAGAUGUGAAAUCCCCGGGCUUAACCUGGGAACUGCAUUUGAGACGCAUAAACUAGAGGUCGAGAGAGGGUUGUGGAAUUCCCAGUGUAGAGGUGAAAUUCGUAGAUAUCGGGAAGAACACCGGUGGCGAAGGCGGCAACCUGGCUCGAUACUGACGCUGAGGCGCGAAAGCGUGGGGAGCAAACAGGAUUAGAUACCCUGGUAGUC